AGCAAAGCUAACAACCAACAUACUGGCCUGGGAGGGGAAAUAGAGAAUAGAAACCAGGUACCAUUGUGACUUCAGAAGACUGUAUGGAAUGGAGAAGUAACAAAGUGCCGACCCCUAAGGGUGCAGAAGCAGAUCAAUCUUCCCUCUUUGGCUGCCUGCUCAUACACCUGUACUAAGAGGUUCCCAAAUCCAUUGUGGCUCCCUGAGGCAAUGUCCCAGCUAGGUCAGUACAUAAUGGUGCUGCAGCACUGGAGGCCAGUAUGAAACAGGCACAAUACUGCUCAACCUGCAGUAAAGAAGGACCUGUCAAUGUUAUUUGCCUGUAAAGUGCCACACAUGCCAGAGGUGCUUUAUAAAUAAGUCAAUAA